rnacentral:rRNA from 1 species
UGGGGGAUAUUGCACAAUGGGCGAAAGCCUGAUGCAGCGACGCCGCGUGUGGGAAGACGGUCCUCGGAUUGUAAACCACUGGCUUUGGGGACGAUAAUGACGGUACCCAAGGAGGAAGCUCCGGCUAACUACGUGCCAGCAGCCGCGGUAAUCACU